CCUGACAACCUUCCUUCGCCUGGACUGCUUUCUUCUUUACAUUUUUCAUCGCCUCGAUGUUGGUGAUGAGCUGGUGUCCAAUCUGCAAGAGCGGCCAGGAAGUCAAUAUGAAAGCUAAGGAAUGAACUAAGUGAAGAAGCGAAAGGAAGAAAAAAAUAAAUCGGCCUACCUCAAGAAAGGACCCCAGAGAGUCCCAAACCCGCUGUUCA
rnacentral:lncRNA from 1 species